rnacentral:tRNA from 1 species
UCCCUGGUGAUCCAGUGGUUAAGACUCCAUGCUCCCAAUGCAGGAGGCCCAGGUUCAACCCCUGGUCAGGGAA